CAGCAUGAGCUCCACCUUUGAAUUUACUAUAUGAGUAAAUUCUUAAACACGUCCGAAUUUAUCACUAUGAUAAAUUCGCGGCAAAUUUUGAAUUUAUCAUAAUAAUAAAUUCGCGGCACCUAACACUAACCCUAACCCCAACCCCAACCCUAACCACUAACCCCUAACCCCUAACCCUAACCCCUAACCACUAACCCCUAA